ACUCCUACGGGAGGCAGCAGUAGGGAAUAUUGCGCAAUGGGGGAAACCCUGACGCAGCAACGCCGCGUGGAGGAUGACACUUUUCGGAGCGUAAACUCCUUUUCUUAGGGAAGAAUUCUGACGGUACCUAAGGAAUAAGCACCGGCUAACUCCGUGCCAGCAGCCGCGGUAAUACGGAGGGUGCAAGCGUUACUCGGAAUCACUGGGCGUAAAGGGCGCGUAGGCGGAUUAUCAAGUCUCUUGUGAAAUCUAAUGGCUUAACCAUUAAACUGCUUGGGAAACUGAUAGUCUAGAGUGAGGGAGAGGCAGAUGGAAUUGGUGGUGUAGGGGUAAAAUCCGUAGAUAUCACCAAGAAUACCCAUUGCGAAGGCGAUCUGCUGGAACUCAACUGACGCUAAGGCGCGAAAGCGUGGGGAGCAAACAGGAUUAGAUACCCUGGUAGUCCACGCCCUAAACGAUGUACACUAGUUGUUGGGGUGCUAGUCAUCUCAGUAAUGCAGCUAACGCAUUAAGUGUACCGCCUGGGGAGUACGGUCGCAAGAUUAAAACUCAAAGGAAUAGACGGGGACCCGCACAAGCGGUGGAGCAUGUGGUUUAAUUCGAAGAUACGCGAAGAACCUUACCUGGGCUUGAUAUCCUAAGAACCUUUUAGAGAUAAGAGGGUGCUAGCUUGCUAGAACUUAGAGACAGGUGCUGCACGGCUGUCGUCAGCUCGUGUCGUGAGAUGUUGGGUUAAGUCCCGCAACGAGCGCAACCCACGUAUUUAGUUGCUAACGGUUCGGCCGAGCACUCUAAAUAGACUGCCUUCGUAAGGAGGAGGAAGGUGUGGACGACGUCAAGUCAUCAUGGCCCUUAUGCCCAGGGCGACACACGUGCUACAAUGGCAUAUACAAUGAGACGCAAUACCGCGAGGUGGAGCAAAUCUAUAAAAUAUGUCCCAGUUCGGAUUGUUCUCUGCAACUCGAGAGCAUGAAGCCGGAAUCGCUAGUAAUCGUAGAUCAGCCAUGCUACGGUGAAUACGUUCCCGGGUCUUGUACUCACCGCCCGUCACACCAUGGGAGUUGAUUUCACUCGAAGCCGGAAUACUAAACUAGUUACCGUCCACAGUGGAAUCAGCGACUGGGGUGAAGUCGUAACAAGGUAACCGUAGGAGAACCUGCGGUUGGAUCACCUCCUUUCUA
rnacentral:rRNA from 1 species